rnacentral:rRNA from 1 species
GGUUAAGUUAGAAAGGGCGCACGGUGGAUGCCUUGACACUAGGAGUCGAUGAAGGACGGGACUAACGCCGAUAUGCUUCGGGGAGCUGUAAGUAAGCUUUGAUCCGAAGAUUUCCGAAUGGGGAAACCCACCAUACGUAAUGGUAUGGUAUCCUUAUCUGAAUACAUAGGGUAAGGAAGACAGACCCAGGGAACUGAAACAUCUAAGUACCUGGAGGAAGAGAAAGCAAAUGCGAUUUCCUGAGUAGCGGCGAGCGAAACGGAACAUAGCCCAAACCAAGAGGCUUGCCUCUUGGGGUUGUAGGACAUUCUAUACGGAGUUACAAAGGAACGAGGUAGACGAAGCGACCUGGAAAGGUCCGUCGUAGAGGGUAACAACCCCGUAGUCGAAACUUCGUUCUCUCUUGAAUGUAUCCUGAGUACGGCGGAACACGUGAAAUUCCGUCGGAAUCUGGGAGGACCAUCUCCCAAGGCUAAAUACUCCCUAGUGAUCGAUAGUGAACCAGUACCGUGAGGGAAAGGUGAAAAGCACCCCGGAAGGGGAGUGAAAGAGAUCCUGAAACCGUGUGCCUACAAAUAGUCAGAGCCCGUUAACGGGUGAUGGCGUGCCUUUUGUAGAAUGAACCGGCGAGUUACGAUCCCGUGCGAGGUUAAGCUGAAGAGGCGGAGCCGCAGCGAAAGCGAGUCUGAAUAGGGCGUUUAGUACGUGGUCGUAGACCCGAAACCAGGUGAUCUACCCAUGUCCAGGGUGAAGUUCAGGUAACACUGAAUGGAGGCCCGAACCCACGCACGUUGAAAAGUGCGGGGAUGAGGUGUGGGUAGCGGAGAAAUUCCAAUCGAACCUGGAGAUAGCUGGUUCUCCCCGAAAUAGCUUUAGGGCUAGCCUUAAGUGUAAGAGUCUUGGAGGUAGAGCACUGAUUGGACUAGGGGUCCUCAUCGGAUUACCGAAUUCAGUCAAACUCCGAAUGCCAAUGACUUAUCCUUAGGAGUCAGACUGCGAGUGAUAAGAUCCGUAGUCAAAAGGGAAACAGCCCAGACCGCCAGCUAAGGUCCCAAAGUGUGUAUUAAGUGGAAAAGGAUGUGGAGUUGCUUAGACAACUAGGAUGUUGGCUUAGAAGCAGCCACCAUUUAAAGAGUGCGUAAUAGCUCACUAGUCGAGUGACUCUGCGCCGAAAAUGUACCGGGGCUAAAUACACCACCGAAGCUGCGGAUUGAUACCAAUGGUAUCAGUGGUAGGGGAGCGUUCUAAGGACAGUGAAGUCAGACCGUAAGGACUGGUGGAGUGCUUAGAAGUGAGAAUGCCGGUAUGAGUAGCGAAAGACGGGUGAGAAUCCCGUCCACCGAAUGCCUAAGGUUUCCUGAGGAAGGCUCGUCCGCUCAGGGUUAGUCAGGACCUAAGCCGAGGCCGACAGGCGUAGGCGAUGGACAACAGGUUGAUAUUCCUGUACCACCUCUUUAUCGUUUGAGCAAUGGAGGGACGCAGAAGGAUAGAAGAAGCGUGCGAUUGGUUGUGCACGUCCAAGCAGUUAGGCUGAUAAGUAGGCAAAUCCGCUUAUCGUGAAGGCUGAGCUGUGAUGGGGAAGCUCCUUAUGGAGCGAAGUCUUUGAUUCCCCGCUGCCAAGAAAAGCUUCUAGCGAGAUAAAAGGUGCCUGUACCGCAAACCGACACAGGUAGGCGAGGAGAGAAUCCUAAGGUGUGCGAGAGAACUCUGGUUAAGGAACUCGGCAAAAUGACCCCGUAACUUCGGGAGAAGGGGUGCUUUCUUAACGGAAAGCCGCAGUGAAUAGGCCCAAGCGACUGUUUAGCAAAAACACAGCUCUCUGCGAAGCCGUAAGGCGAAGUAUAGGGGGUGACACCUGCCCGGUGCUGGAAGGUUAAGGAGAGGGGUUAGCGUAAGCGAAGCUCUGAACUGAAGCCCCAGUAAACGGCGGCCGUAACUAUAACGGUCCUAAGGUAGCGAAAUUCCUUGUCGGGUAAGUUCCGACCCGCACGAAAGGUGUAACGAUUUGGGCACUGUCUCAACCAGAGACUCGGUGAAAUUAUAGUACCUGUGAAGAUGCAGGUUACCCGCGACAGGACGGAAAGACCCCGUGGAGCUUUACUGUAGCCUGAUAUUGAAUUUUGGUACAGUUUGUACAGGAUAGGCGGGAGCCAUUGAAACCGGAGCGCUAGCUUCGGUGGAGGCGCUGGUGGGAUACCGCCCUGACUGUAUUGAAAUUCUAACCUACGGGUCUUAUCGACCCGGGAGACAGUGUCAGGUGGGCAGUUUGACUGGGGCGGUCGCCUCCUAAAGUGUAACGGAGGCGCCCAAAGGUUCCCUCAGAAUGGUUGGAAAUCAUUCGUAGAGUGCAAAGGCAUAAGGGAGCUUGACUGCGAGACCUACAAGUCGAGCAGGGACAGGGACGAAAGUCGGGCUUAGUGAUCCGGUGGUUCCGCAUGGAAGGGCCAUCGCUCAACGGAUAAAAGCUACCCCGGGGAUAACAGGCUUAUCUCCCCCAAGAGUCCACAUCGACGGGGAGGUUUGGCACCUCGAUGUCGGCUCAUCGCAUCCUGGGGCUGUAGUCGGUCCCAAGGGUUGGGCUGUUCGCCCAUUAAAGCGGUACGCGAGCUGGGUUCAGAACGUCGUGAGACAGUUCGGUCCCUAUCCGUCGUGGGCGUAGGAAAUUUGAGAGGAGCUGUCCUUAGUACGAGAGGACCGGGAUGGACGCACCGCUGGUGUACCAGUUGUUCUGCCAAGGGCAUAGCUGGGUAGCUAUGUGCGGAAGGGAUAAGUGCUGAAAGCAUCUAAGCAUGAAGCCCCCCUCAAGAUGAGAUUUCCCAUAGCGUAAGCUAGUAAGAUCCCUGAAAGAUGAUCAGGUUGAUAGGUUCGAGGUGGAAGCAUGGUGACAUGUGGAGCUGACGAAUACUAAUAGAUCGAGGACUUAACCAU